UGGAAGAUAUGGAUACACGAGAUGCGUGUAGUUAAGCUUCUCGUCACAAAGUCGUCCUAAAAAAAGUUGCCUUCUGAUGACUGUGACUUGUGAAGUUUUAAUUUACAGACAGAUACGGGGCAUACAAAA